rnacentral:tRNA from 1 species
UGGCUCAGAUGGUAAAGUAUCUGCCUGCAAUGCAGGAGGCUCAGGUUCAAUCCCUGG